CCAACCUUGGGACAUGGGCUCAGCAUCACCAGGAGACUAUGCCACUCUUGGCACUAAAACGACCUCCAGACAGAUUAUAAAGUAAAAACUUACAUAAAUAAGUAAUAAAAUUCUAGACUAGCUAGUAGGAAAUAAAUCUAAUUCUUCUUAGCCUCUGGAAAAGCAUUUAUAACUUUUCCUUAACUUCCUUAAUGUUCCUGAAACUUCCUAAGGAGUUUUAUAAAUGUUCUAGCAAAAGAAGAAAUCACACGGAAAAAGACGAACCUGUUUGGCCAUGUGGCUCCAGGACCCAGGGCAGAGGCAGGCUUGGAGUUGGACGCACCCACCCCAUUUCAUAGACUGGAAAACCAAGUCGCACAAGGAAAGAAGACAAGAGGACACCGAGGCUCCAGCCCUAGAACCCAGCCAGAAGUCAUGCCCUCCUGGGUUGCUGAGCUCAGGGAGGGGACUCACAAGAGGGCCUUCUAGGCAGCAAAGGUCUAGCUAUUCCACAAGCUCCUGGGACAGACAGGUUGCGCUUGGAUCUGCUACUCACAGCUAUGUGGCUGUAAGCAGCUUACUCACCUUCUCUGGGCCCUGGUUUCUGCAUUUGAUGCAGGCCUGGCAGCCUCUGUCUUGCAAGGUUACGGUGCCCUUGGAGAUCACUGCUAAGAAUUCAGACAGGCCUGCUUUAAGCCGUAGCACCUGCGCCCACUGCACUGCCUUUAAAGGGGUGAUCUUCCAGGGAAGACAGUGGGGAUUAAGGCCCAUCCCAUGCAAGCCUCCAGGGUCCACAAAUGUCCUUCUCCUGCCAGGGGCUCUGCAGUGACAAGGCCUGGUAGGAGUCUGGCAUAUCUUUCUGGUAGCUUCCUAAGUGACAUUCUCCCACACUGGCCCUGCUGGGCUUUCACCUCCUGCCCACAGCAGCCCUCACUUCCUAUGCUGAUCCCCCUUCCCCAGAGGGUCUUCUCCAACCUGGUGUCCAUCCCCACAGCCAUCUGGGGACACCCCUGCACCUGAAACCUCAGCAAUUCAAGUUGCAAGAUGCCAGCUAAAGGGACUCCCAGCCAUUCUCUCAGUCUCAUGUCUAAAAUGGGAUAGUGGGGCUGGGCAUGGUGGCUCAUGGCUGUAAUCCCAAUGCUUUGGGAGGCUGAGGAAGGAUGGCUGGAGGCCAGGAGUUUGAGAUCAGACUGGACAACAUAGCCAGACCCCAUCUCUACAAAAAAAAUUUUAAAAAUUAGCCAGGCGUGGUGGUGUACGGUCCCAGCUACUCGGUUGGCUGAGGCAGGAGGAUUGCUUAAGUCCAGGAGUUCAAGGCUGCAGUGAGUUAUGUUUGCACCACUGUACUCCAGCCUGGGUGACAGAGCAAAACCCUGUCUCUAAAAAUAAAUAAGUAAAAUGGGACCGGGUGCGGUGGCUCAUGCCUGUAAUCACAGCACUUUGGGAGGCCGAGGCGGGUGGAGAGGUUCGAGACCAGCCUGCCCAACAUGGCAAAACCCCGUCUCUACUAAAAAUACAAAAAUUAGCCGGGCGUGGUGGCGGGUGCCUGUAAUUCCAGCUACUAGGGAGGCUGAGGCAGGAGAUCGCUUGAAUCUUGUUCUGUUGCCCAGGCUGGAAUGCAGUGGCACAAUCAUGGCUCACUGCAGCCUCAACCUCCUGGCAAGGAGUUUGAGGAGUUUGAGGCUAAUCCUCCCACCUCAGCCUCCAGAGUAGCUGGGACUACAGGCGCACUCCACUACCCCUGACUAAUUAAAAAAAAGAAAGAAAGAAACUUUUGUAGAGAUGAGGUAUUUCUAUAUUGCCCAGACUGGUCUUGAACCCCUGACCUCAAGUAAUCUGCCCGCCUCGGCCUCCCGAAGUGCUGGGAUUACAGGUCACUGCACCCAGCCCAAAGUAAUUUUAAGAGUUGCCUGUGUUCACUGUUUACACAUUUCACUUACUACUUUCCUCCUUCAUGCCCUCCAACCUGGUUUCUGUCACCCCUAUUCCACCAAAACUCUUCAAGUUCACCAAUGACCUUUCUGUGGAUCAAUCUUGUGAACUCUUUUCACUCCUUAUUUUACUCAAAAUUGCUGCAGCACUUCAUCUUAGCUUUUUUUUCCUUUUUCUUUUUUCUUUUUGAGAUGGAGUCUCACUCUGUUGCCCAGGCUCAAGUGCAGUAGCACAGUCUCGGCUCACUGCAACCUCCACCUCCCAGGUUCAGGCGAUUCUCCCACCUCAGUCUCCUGAGUAGCUGGGACUACAGGUGUGCGCCACCACGCCUGGCUAAUUUUUGUAGUUUUAGUAGAGAUGGGGUUUCACCAUGUUGCCCAGGCUGGUUUUGAAGUCCUGCCCUUAGGUGAUCCACUCGCCGUGGCCUCCCAAAGUGCUGGGAUUACAGGCGUGAGCCACCACGCCCGGCCAUUCACACUAGUUUUAUUUAUUUAUUUUUUGUGAAACGGAGUUUCGCUCUGUCGCCAGGCUGGAGUGCAGUGGCACGAUCUCGGCUCACUUCAACCUCCACCUCCCAGGUUCAAGUGAUUCUCCUGCCUCAGCCUCCCUAGUGGCAGGGAUUACAGGCAUCCGCCACCACGUCCAGCUAAUUAUUGUAUUUUUAGUAGAGAUGGGGUUUCACUGUGUUGGCCAGGCUGGUCUCGAUCUCUUGACCGUGCAUCCACACUAGUUUUCACUUCUCCCUUCGUGAAUCCACUUUCUCUUUUCCUCUGUGACCUGCAUUUUGAUUUUCCUCCCCUCUUUUUCAGCUACUUCUUCCCCAGCUACUCCGAUCUUUUGCUACUCUCCCUUUUCCAGCCCUUAAAGUUGGGGCUCUUCAAGGCUCAGUCCUAGGUCCUCCUCUCUUUUCACUCCCCACACCCUUCUCAGGGGUGCGGUUCACCUUGUUCCCUUUCUUCAAUUACCAGCUAUGGUCAGUAUCAAUUAGGCUACAGGCUGGAAUCUCCUGGGGGAGCAUUGAGAAAAGUCCAGUGCCAAGCAGAAUCCUCGGCCGUUCUAUUGGUCUGGGGGUGGAGCCCAGGCAUCAUUAUUUUUAAAACCUUUCCAGCUCUCAUUCUAAUCUCCAGCCAAAGUUGAGAACCACAAGAAGAGAUGCUGCUAACUCCCAAAUCCUUCACGCCUAUCCCCAAAGGACCCCUGAUGUGCUUUGCUGGCACUAUAGAUUAGCCUGCAAUUUCCAGAAUCUUACAUACUUUCUUAUUGCCCGGCUUUUUUCAUUCAUGAUGAUGAUUUUGAGAUGCAUCCAUGUUGCGGCAUGUAUCAAUAGUUUUUGUUUUUUGUUUUGUGUGUGUGUGUGUGUGUGUGUGUGUUUUGAGACGGAGUCUCGCGCUGUCUCCCAGUCUGGAGUACAGUGGCGCGAUCUAGGCUCACUGCAAGCUCCGCCUCCCAGGUUCAUGCCAUUCUCAUGCCUCAGCCUCCCGAAUAGCUGGGACUACAGGCGCCCGCCACCAUGCCUGGCUAAUUUUUUGUAUUUUUUAGUGGAGACGGGGUUUCACCAUGUUAGCCAGGAUGGUUUCGAUCUCCUGACCUUGUGAUCCGCCCACCUCGGCCUCCCAAAGUGCUGGGAUUACAGGCAUGAGCCACCGCGCCCGGCCAGUUUCGUUCUUUUUUUUUUUUAAUUGCUGUAGCGUUUCAUUUUAUGCUUAUAGCUGGAUUUGUUUAUCCUUUUACCCACUGAUGAAUAUUUGGGUUGUUUUUAGUUUUUGGCUUUUGCAAAUACACUGCUAUGAAUAUUCAUGUAUAAUAUGUGCAAAAACGUCUUCAUGUUGCUUGGGAAAUAUCUACAGGUGGAGUGGCUGGGUCUUAUGGUAGGUGUGUUAUUAGCAUUUUAAGAAACUGCCAAAAUGUUUUCAAAAGUGGCUGUGUUUUUUCCCACACCCACCAGUCAUAAACGAGAAUUCCAGGUUUUGCCCAUCUUUAAAUUGGGUUGUUUGUCUUCCUAACAUUGAGUUGUCUAAAUACAACUGAAAAAAAAAUUUCAGUCCGUGGCACAUAUCUUUAUCAUUUCCUUGCUUCCUUCCUUGCCUCCUUCCUUCCUUCCUUCCUUCCUUCCCUCCCUCCUUCCUUUCUCCCUUCUUUCCCUUCCUCCCUCCCUCCCUCCUUCUUUUGUUCCUCUCUUCCUUCCUACCUCCCUCCCUCUUCCUUCCUGCCUUUCUACCUUCUUUAACUUCCUCCCUCCCUCUUUGGUCCUCCCUCCCUCCCUUCCUUCUUCCUUUUCUUUCUCUUUCUUUCUCUCUCUCUCUUUCUUUCAACAAGGUCUCACUCUUGUCACCUAGGCUGGAGUACAGUGGUGCAAUCACAGCUGACUGCAGCCUCGAACUCCUGGUCUCGAGUUAUCCUCCUGCCUCAGCCUCCCAAGUAGUUGGGACUACAGGCGCAUGCCACCGUGCCUGGCUAAUUAAAAAAAAUUUUUUUUCUAGAGACAGGGUCUCAUUAAGUUACCCAGACUGGUCUCAAACUCCUGGCCUCAAGUGAUCCGCCCACCUUGGCCUCUCAAAGUGCUGGGAUCCUAGGUGUGAGUCACGGCGCCUGGCCUUUACCAUUUUCUUAAUAGUGUCUUUGAAGAGCUAAAGUUUUUCAUUUGGGUGAAGUUCAAUUUAUUGAUUUGUUUUCUUGUAUUCUUUGUCCUUUCUAUAUUGUAUUUCCGAAGUAUUUACCAAGCCCAAGGUAACUAAAAUUCUUUUUCCCCUCAGUUUUCUCCUAGAAAUUUUUAAAAAUCAUUUUAGCUUUUACAAAUAGUUACGUGACCUAUUUAGAAUUAAUUUUGGUGUAUAGUAUGUGGUAGGGGAAAGCUUCUUCCCCAGUCAGCUUUCCUCAUUGAACAAUGGUUUUGCUAUGACUUGAAUCUUUUUUUUUACUUUUUCUUGAGACAGGGUCUCGCUCUAUUGCCCAGGCUGGAGUGCAGUGGUGCGAUCGCAGCUCACUGAAACUUCCACCUCCUGGGUUCAAGUAAUUCUCAUGCCUCAGCCUCCCAAGUAGCUGGGAUUACAGGCAUAAGCCACCAUGCCCGGCUACUUUUUGUAUUUUUAGUGGAGAUGGGGUUUCACCAUGUUGGACAGGCUAGUCUCGAACUCUGAUCUCAAGUGAUCUACCCGCUUUGGCCUCCCAAAGUGCUGGGAUUAUAGGCUAAGCCACCAUGCCCAGCCUACAACUCGAAUCUUAUCAUGUCACUCCCCUGCUUACACUAUUGUCCCCAGGCAAACCUCAGCUCCUCUAGCCCAGCUCUGUAGACGACAACUGGCAGAAGUCCAUGUUCCAGUUUUCGUCUCCCUGUUCUGUGGAUGCUAAAACCCAUUUGUCAAACAUAUCAAAUGUCUCUCUUGCCUGUAGGCUUUCUUAUGCUGCUGGAUCUGUCUGGAAGUACCAC
rnacentral:lncRNA from 1 species